CCUAUAAAAGCUCCAAGACUACCCUCUCAACCAGGCCAUCUGAAAGGGGCAAAAUGAUCUGAUCCGUCCGUUUCAGCCGCACAGUAAAUUCUGGUUCCCACUUUUACCUACAGCCGUCCGAUUCAGUGAUUUUUUUCUCACCCGCUGCUGCUCGUUGAGGGUGUAUGACGUCUGGGUCCGCGCUUAAGUGGGACCACUUGUUUGCUACGGUGGGCAUCCGGAGUCGCGUCGCUCAGAAAAUGAAAUGCAGUGAAAACCUAACCUACCGCGAGCCUCUCCUCCCAAUCCCGUGCCUCCUCUCCUCUCCCCCAAUCUCGGCCUCCUCUCUUCCUUCCCAAUCAGCCGCCGCCUCCUCUCGUUUCUCCUCCCCAAUCCGGUGCAGAGGAGUGGAAAGGGACGGCGGCGACCCGUGCGGCGCCAGUGGUGGCGGACUCGCCGUUCCCCGCGAGCGAGGAGACGAGAUCGGUGGGGCCCUCGACCUGCGCGAGUGGCGGCGUGCGGCGUGGCGGUGUCGACUAGCGCCGGUGUCGUCCACUCGCUCGCACUCCACCUUUCCGCCAUCGCUCCCACUCCCGCCGCCCGCGUGUCCCGCGCGCCGCCCGCGCGGAACCAGCCUGGAUGCGGCGGUGCUGGGGGACUGAGCUGCCGUGAGCGAGAGUGAAGUACGCCGAUGCCGAUCGGGAUGGGAAGAGGUCGGGGAGGCUACUCCGCCGCUGCCGUGGCCGUUGCCGUGGCCGUCGCGUUCGCGUUGGUGGCGGUGGUGGCCGGCGCCGCUUCCGAGGGGGACUCGCUCGCGGGACUCGCCGGGGGCGCCGCGGGGAUCGACGCCGCGCCAGGUACGUGCUCGCGCGCUUCUGCCCGUGAUUUCUCCGUGUGAUCGAUCAGCGAGCUAGGGGGAUCGGGUUUGCGUAUCCAGAGUUCGAUCGGUGAGUCGAUCCACUUCCGUGCGCAGUGAUGGCUUGAUCUCUGAUGGGGCCUCUGAGCCUGAUUCCGCUGCCAGUCACACUCCAGUUUUAUUUCAGACCUCGCGUUUGUCGGCGAUUACGAUCGUUUGUCCUGUCGGAAACGUGCGCAGUUUUCCGCUCAGCAAGUCCCGUCGGUGUCGGUACAAACGUCGGCAUCAGCCGAUCGCACCGAAUUAAGUCCAUUCGCCCGUCCAGGAUCGGAGAAUCGAGCGAUCUGCAGCAAGCAACAUGGAAGAAACUUUGUUCCCACAGCACAAGUGCACGAGAGGAGAAGAAGAGCACCCGACUUGAGAUGUUGAGCGUCAACCUAAAGUGACGCAGCCCGCUCGCCAUGGCAGGUUGUGAGUGAGUUUUGCUCCUUCUUUUCUGAAGUUUCUUCGUGUGAUUAAAUGCUUUCAUUAUGUGAUUAUUUCACAGUGCAGAUCAGGUGCAAAACUGUGUCAUUUAGAUUUAUUUUCAGUGGAGUAUCCUGAACCACCAAAGAUUUUCUUUUUUACAGAGCAUGCAACAUUGAGGAAUUUGAUUGGAGCGCUUCACAUAGUGGUCUAAGUCUCUGGUUCCUCCUAUGCCAAUGUCCCUUUAGUUCCGAUUGUAUUCACCAACUUUACACUUUCUUCCUGAUUUUGUUUUGUAGUCACAAUGCUACAUAACUCAAGAAAUGCUCCUAUUCUACAAGUAACCAAAUAUGUUAAUAUUGUAGUUGUUAUGCCACCUUCAGGACACAUGUUAAUAGUUUAUUUUAUAUUUGAAACCUGUCUUUGUUCGUCUUUAGACAAAUGAAAAUCUUGAGUGUUGCCGAGUCAAAAGAACAUGCUUUUCGAGACAAUCAUUCCGGUUCUAAUGUUUACUAAAUUUUGGAAAGCUUUUAAUACUACUUGAUUUUAACUGUCUGGCUUCAAAUAGAUUUAUUAUACAGCAAAGUAAUGUUGUGGAGAUUUUGCCAAUGAUAUUGAUCUAAUUGGAAAUCCAUCAUCUGAACAAUGGGGGCAUGGCAUACUCUCUGCAGCUCACUACGGUAGGGAAGUACUUCACGUCAUGUCCAAAAGCCGAGUGUACGUCGACACAGCGGGUGGGGUCGGUGUCACGUCCACUGACCGAGCGGGUGUUGCUGAGCUGGGAUGAACAUUCAUGGAUUAAUAUAUGUCUGUAUUUUUACUAGAAGACGAUGAAGAUUUGAAUGUCUGCAUGUAAUGCUUCACAAUUUUACUCCUUGCUUUUGAAGGCUCUGCAUGCUUCUCUUCCAACCAAUUACUUACUAGGUACAACUUUAUUCCUUUACCACAUCAUAAUUGUUUUAUUUACUCUUGGCGUCCAUGUUUUAUAUUAGUACAUAUCCAUGUAUAGGCUCAAGGUGCUAAUAUAUGCAUUGUGCUUUGUGUUGAUUCACCGGUUAUUUAAUACCGAGUUGCGUGCGUGUUUCCUUUUUAAGAAUGUUUGAUUUCCAUGCAAACAGUGUCAUAUAUGCAAAAUGCCAAGUUAGAUUUUUGCUAAACCAUAGUACAUAUAUAGCGGCAAUGCUCGUUUAGUUGAGCUGUAUAUAUGUCUUUCUAAGUUUGUGUAGUUCAAUAUAUUUCAUUUAAUUGUUGAGAAAAUUAGCACCUUCCCUAUAUCUCCUUCCAUGUGCACUCUCUGUUGUGUUUUUGGUUUGCAGUGAGUAAAGGUGCAGCUUUGUUGUUCUUCCUUGCAUUGAAGCAUGUCGACUAAACCUUCUGCUCCUAUCAUGCCGCCCAAGGAUUUGUUUAGAAUGUGCUAAUAAAUAUAGGUCUAUGGUGUUCUCCGCUGUUGUAGCAGCAGUAGAUGAGGAGCCCUACGAUAUCCUAUAUGCCCAACCUAUGGUCUAAAUUUUAUCUACGUCUAUGUAUGCCACGAACUACUGACUGAAACUAAAAUUUAUCUGCUUUUAUGCAUAGCACGAUCUGAUGCUCAGAAAUCUUUGUUUCUGCCGAUAUUCUCUACAUAUGUUUUGAAUCGCUGGUGCUGUCUGUAUUUAUGCUGCAUUUGUUGCUGUCAUCUGUUUCAUUUUGUGGGUUAAGAAAAAAUGAAAGCAGAUCUAUUGAAGAUAUCUUUUUUAAGUACAUCGGCUUUCUAUGGUGUGCUUUCUGAGAGGCAUUUGUGUAGCAUGUCUGCAUUUACUUUGUUAUUUUCAACGCACAUGCUCACGACAUGGGUAGGCACUGAAUGAUUGUAUUGGUCUGAUGGCCAUCUUUUUUAUUUAGCAAUUUGAGUAUUUCAGCUUACUCUCAGAGAUCUAUCACUUGCUUAGCUAUGUCAGUGUUUUCUUUUCAAAUAUCUUAAGGAAAUGGGAG